ACACCGCAAAAAGAUAAAAUAACUGACACAACAAAUGCAGGGCCAAAAGGCACAAUUCGGAGUACCUCAAGGAUAAUAGGUGCAUAAAAUUCAGUCACAAACACAUAUAAUCCUCACAUUACAUAAAACUCAGUCCUGGAACAUAGCCAGACUAGUAUUAAACAGCUAAAUUUGACCAAACACAGGUAAGGCAACUUCCACAGCCACAACCGCAUAACAAAUCAGGAAUCACUGGGACAAUGCCAUCAUCCCUCAGAGUUUCGCUGCCUGGAUGUCAGAUGAUGCUUCCCCUCCCUCCAAGGCGCCUACUUGGAUCGCUGCCUCAUCUUUCGGCGCUUCCUCUUGAGCCUCCUCAUCCUCUUCUUCUUCCACUGCACAUUAAGACGAAAUGCAGAUCAUCAGUACAAAUUGCAUAGUGCUAGAUGCGCAGGAACAUGAGAUAAUUCCACAUGAAACGAGAAAGUAGUAUGUACUUCAGAAUCAGAAGAUUGAGUGUUUCAUUGGAUAUCAUCACGUGAUUUUCAGAAACACGGACCAAUUGUCCUUCAUCAUUUCCCAAACUGCCAAUUUGGCAUUGCAAAAAGAGAACUAUUCUAAGAAGGUCGUAGCUAUCUACAAACAGGUUAGGCAAAGCAAAGUAGAUCUGCAGUCAGUUUGACAUUCAGAAUGAGUAGGAGGAUUUUAUCAUCAAAUAGAUCAGACGCCAAUUGUCUUCCUCAUCAUGCCAACCGACGCAAUUAUACAAAAUAAAAACAGUGGAAAAUGAGCUAAAGAAAUGGAUAAGCAAACGUUGUUCUCUCAGACAAAUGCCUCGAUUGUCCACACGGUGUAAUAGAAUGGAUUACAUCAGACUCGUCAUCUGUUUUCAUCAUCACAGAGAACAAUGGACAAACGAAAACAGCAAAAAAAAAACAUAAAUCUGGCUAACAUAACUAGAGGCAGUAAUUAGAUCUCAUAGAGCAAGCAAAUCUGGUCGAAAUAGCAGCGGUUCUCUCAGACAAAUUUGCCUCACUUUUGUCCCCACGGUUGAAUGGAAUGGAUUGGAUCGGACAUCUAAUCAGUGUUGAUCAUCACAGAGAACCACUAAUUACGCAAGCGAGCGGUAGCAACGGCGAGAACAAACCCUCGCUAAACACUAGCACAUGUCCAGAUCUACCUCGGUCGCGGAGCAGCUAACAACAGGGAAGGGAGAUGACGGGCAGUACGAACCUUGGCCCUCAUCGCGGCGGCGGAGUCGGUCUCGCUCUCCUGUUCGCGGCGGCGGCGGCGGCGGCGGUGUGUGGACGAACUUAGAUUGUUGACGGCGGGGGCUCUCGCCUCGUACUUAUACGGGCUGGGUGCUGAAGGGGGGGGGAAACCCUAGCGGGGUUGGACGGGUGGACGGCUCGGAUCAGCCAGUGAACGGCGUUCUGAUCCGAUUAGUAAUCUGGUUUGUGGGCCUGUUGGGCCUCCAAACAACGCCUAGGCCCACGCUAACAUUUGACUGGACUUGAUUUCCUGAAGGGGGGAAAAAGAAACUUGACCAGUCUUUACUUUUAUUCUCUUUAUUUUAUAUUACUUUAAAAAGAGUAGUGUUCCUUUUUCUGCCAGACGGAGUGAUUCGUCCAACAUUUUUUUAUAAUCACUAGCAAAAGGCCCGUGUGUUACAACGGGCCAUUGAUAUUUUAGUAUUUCAACACUGAUUGUGCACAUCAAACUGAAAUAUCUCCUUCUAUUGUUAAUUGCUAGUGAAAUAAUCGAGAGGAGAUAAUAUGCCUGAAUAGUGAAGUUGUGAGCAUAGCUUAUUUCUCCUUCUCCUUGACUCAUAUGCAUCAUUUGCUUGGGGGGCAAGCUUGUAGCAGAGUUAAACCCAAAAAAAAGUUGAAUACAAAUCAAGGGAUAUAGCAGCAUUCAACUAAAUUAGUAGUGGAGUAGAGAAGCCCUGGAGCAUAUAAAGUAAAUGAUACCUCUGACAAAGCAGGUUUAAGAAGUGGAUAGUAAGUUUGAAAACAUGAACAAUGCAUAGCAAGCUUUCGUACAUACAAAUUCCCUUGUAUUGAUGAAAACAUAAAUUCACCUAUAAAAAACUAACAAAUUUAGUUUGUAUAUAUACUCUUAGUACACAGUCGAGUCAACACAAACAAUUUGCCUAUGAAAGGAUCAAGUUGGAAUUCCAUUGCUCGAUGGGUGGACGGCUCGGAUCAGCCAGUGGACGGUGUUCUGAUCCGAUUAGUAAUCUGGUUUGUGGGCAUGUUGGGCCUCCAAACAACGCCUAGGCCCAUGCUAACAUUUGACUGGACUUGAUUUCCUGAAGGGGGAAAAAGAAACUUGACCAGUCUUUACUUUUAUUCUCUUUAUUUUAUUACUUAAAAAAGGGAAACGUUUCCUGCGGCGUGCCGGCGGAACGCUUGGCCAGUCGCGUACGCUUCGUUCGAUCGAAAGCGAUCAUGCGGCCCACGUGUGGCCUCACCCCCUCGGCCCCACAUGCUCCCUCUUCCUUAUCCCCAUAUGUUUUCUUUUCCUUAUCCCCUCAAGCACCACUCAUUUUUCUUGCUUAUCCCUCCAUGCCCACCAUUCAUCCCAUGCACCUCUCUCUCCCCCUGGCCUACCUUCAAUCAAUAGCUUGCCGGCGAUGGAAGACGUGUGUGGCGAGCUGGCAGUCCGGGGCUGCACACAUGAAGCCGCGGAGGUGCGUGAGCACGACUCUCGGCGAGCGAAGAGGCGCGACGCCAAAGCUACAUCGGCAACUUGGUAUUUCCACUUUGCAACCUGAUACGACGAGUGGAGGGUGGUUUGCUGCAACCAGUGGCCCCUACUACUACGACCAACGAGGUGGCUGUGCCGUGAAGAUGGACGACGGAUGCGGCGAUUUUUGUGCUGAAACCCACGAUAGCCUCUGCUACAACCGGCCAGCCAUUUUGCUGGAACCAGCAUCGGUAAUUGCUGCCAUCAGUCACGCGAUAUGCUGGAACCAAACGCGCACUCGUCGCCGGCGUUUUUUUUCUUUUGCUAGAGUUGGGUGUUUGAUUUUGCUGGAAGUAGCUAUCCUUUUUGCUACAAAUCGACCACACGAGUUCUCCCUGUUUUGUUGUUUCUGCUGUAUCCAAUGUCUUGUUUUGCUGGAAACAACCAUCUUUUUUGGUACAAAUCGACAACAGGAAUUCUACGUGUUUAGUUGUUUUUCUGCUGCAUCCGAUGUUUCGUUUUGCUGGAACCUAGUAUUUUUUUAUUCAACCGAUCAAUGAAGGAUUGUUGCUUUCAGAUCUUUUUGCUAGAUACUUCAGUGCAAACCGACGCCCACGGCGAGCCGAAACCAGAGCAUGGUGAUGAGCUGGAACCGGCGAGCUUGCUUUGCUGCAAUGAGCCGCAAGCUACUAUGAUCAGCAGGGCGAAGAGCUGGAACGGGCGUCCAUUUUUGCUGGGAUGGGCGCCCAAAUUUGCUGGAACAGGAGUCCCGGGUUGCUGCAUCGUUCGCCGCACAGGGGAGCUACGAUGUUGGCGAGCUGGAACCGGCGCCCAAUUUUGCUGGAGCCGGCAUCUCGACAUGCUGGAACCGUGUGAAGGCAGGCGGCGGCUGAAUGGCUGAUUCGACGCUGAUGGUGUUUUGCUGCGACCAGUGAUGGAAAAGCUUCAACCAUCGGGCGAGUUGUCGAUGGCGUGAGGGGUGACGCCGGGGUGCUGCGGCCGACAACACGGUCGGUGCUGCGCGUUCUACUACAACGAGGAGUCGACCACUAGUUGUUGCAUCCGGCCACGUUGACGCUGCCACCAGCUACAACGAGAAGAUGCCAUGGCGAGCUUCGCCGCCGACGGCCGGCAGCGAAGGUACUCGUGCGGGACGGUGAGCAGAAUUGCGCGCGGCUGCGGCCGCCCGCAAGGGAGAGCCGAUCUGGGCCUUCGUAGACUCUCGUGACAAACGAAACAGCAAGGAGGGACCGGCAGAUGGAGCGGUUAAGGUCACUUCAAUCGAGCGUUGCAUGAGGAACCGGCCGAAAUUUUGGGCCGGUCCGCCGGCGCCUAGUGCUGGCCCUUAAAAAAAAGUAGCGUUCCUUUUUCUGCCAGACGGAGUGAUUUGUCCAACAUGUUUUUCUUGGGAACCGCCUUAAUCAUCUCAUCUUUUUGGUUCAAAAAAAUCGUCUCAUCUUUUAUUGACUUAUCAAAUAAAUUAUAUUUUCUUUCAUAAGUCAAAAUAAGUGAUUACAAAAUAAAAUCAUGGGUAAGAUUUGUUAAGUAUUUUUUUACACAAUCACAUAACAUAAAGAUGUAAAUUAUGGGAUAAUGUAUUGUAAUAUAAUAUAUAAUAUUUAUGCCCCAUAGCGACACGGGCAAAUAUCUAGUUCUGCUAGCAAAAAGACUAAUUACAAAACAAUAAAACUGAGCUAGCUACACGCCACCACAGCGAUUCACCGCUUUUGGCCGUCCGAUCAUUUGUUAGACGCCCCAGAUCUUCCAAUUGUCCACUGGCGGUCGCUUGGUCAUUUUCACCGUGCCUCACCCAAUGUAAAAGGGCUGCUGCUCCGGAAAGCAACCUGUGGGUCAUGUAGUUAAUUGGGCCCAGAAGCAGCCCAAUUGGUUGUGUACGUCAGCCCAUGCUAGGUUUCCUUUCCACAUCGACAGAGAAAAGAAAAGAACAAUUCAUCCUUCUCCUCUUGUUCAUACCCACGGUGCAGGGUGUCUAAUUUCUCAUGUUCCUUUCGUGCUAGGAAGCUCGUGGGGAUUGACCAACUGUCAGUUUGUUGGAGUUUGAUCUGUCCCGAUGGGCGACAAACAUAUAGCUGACUGAAGGCACGAGUAUGGCCUAUGGACUAAAGGAUUUGUUCCUUUCCCUCGGUGGCAACAUCCUAUAUGGCAGUACCUUUUCGCCUCCUUUUACCAGCCGUAUAAUUCAGUGAGUCGUUAGUAACUGUUUUGAUUGGUUGUUAGUAUUCCGGCACUGCCUUAUAUAUGGAUAUUCAUUGUUGAUAUGUGUUACAUGGUGUGAUCCCGAUCGACUCCAAUAUGGACACCCAGGCACCACACCCAGGCUCAUGCAAAUGCUCAAAACAGCCCGGUAACGCCACCACUUGUUGAUCAAAACGUUGUCCUUCUGAGUACUGAUUAGGAUUACAUGCAACCUUCUUGCUGGAAAUACGCUUCUGAAAAAAGAUGCUAAGCUGGCCUGAUAAGAUUGGCAUUAGGCUUUUGCCGUAGGAUCCUGGAACUCUGAAUUCUAGGAACAGCACCUACCAGGUUACCUGAUGUAAUCCGUAUCCUUGCAUGAGGUUUGGAGUACGUGGUUUUUCAAUUUUUGUUGGACAGUUUUAGUCGAGUUAGGUGUGUUCAAGGAUUAGCUUUGGUUUUCCCAUUUUACUCGCUAAGAAAGGUAACUGAAAUUUUGUUUCUGCUCAAUUUCAUUAGGUUGCAAGAAAAUGACUGGUUGAAAUUGCUUUCCUAAACAAAGUAAUAGAUGUACAAUAUUGAUCAACAAAUGGGCAACAAGUCAACAACGACCCAGUAGAAAUUUUAUUGUGCUGAAUAGGGCCAAGUAUAUUAUCAAACCAUUGUUGGUAAGAGGAUAAUUUACUAUGAUUCAGUUGGCAAAGAGGCUCUGAUCUGCAGUUUAAAUGACGAAGAAAUACUGGAACAUGGGGAAGAGAAGCAUGUUUCACAAAAGAAGAAGAUCCGCUAAUAUGGUAAUAAUACAUCCUAGUUAAAUAGAUUGGUUUUUCUGUAUUACGUGCUCUUCUGUCGUGAACUGCAAUUGAUUACCACAACAUGCUAUGUUUUCAUCCGUUCAAGUCUGAAGAAUGGGUACUAUCUAUCAGUCUAUAUGUUUGAAUUUUUUUUCUAAUAUCUCUACUCCUAAUGAAGCAGUUGGUAGCCUGGUACUCCGGUUUUAUUUUCGUCCGGUUUUAUUUCGUCCCACCUCCCACCACUCCGUACUACUGGUUUUUUAUCUAUCUACAAAUCUCCCCUCCCACUGGUUUAAGCCGGUUAUCAAUUUUUGGUAAUGCAAUAAAAGUCAUACGGGAAUAAAUCAUAUCACGGUCGGCAGUUAAUCUCAAACCUGCCAAGAGAUUUGGUAACAGAAUAAAUUCAAAAGGAAGGGUGGGGGAAUGUUCCUAUACAUAAGGAUGGUAAUCUCCAUCGCAUACCAUUUACUCCAGAAUCAAUCGCAUUAAUAAUCUCCAUCGCAUAAAUAAUUACUCCAAAAUCAAUCACAAUCAUAAUCUACAUCGCAUAAUUAACUUCUUCCUAUGACCACCUCGCUCCACCAAUCCCACCUGCCGUUUUCUACCAUCACGAUCGAUUUUCUCGCGUCCUCUCCUACACGCACAAAAAUAUAGGCCCAGCCUCGACCGUGGGCUGGGACUCAUCCGUCGCGCACCGCCUGCUCUGCAACGACGCCCAACGCAACCUCUUCUUUGAUGCCCCCGCGCACCCCUCGCCGCCGCCACCAACGCCCUGCGCGUUCGCCUCUACGGCCUUGAUGAUUGCACCCGCUUUCGUGACGUCCUCGCGCUCAAGCGCCGCCGGCGCAUCCACGCCUGCGUCAGCCAUGCCGAGGAGGUUGAGGAGCCCCUCGAGCCGGCCCUUGCCCUCGCCUGCGUCAACGACCCCGCCCAUCUUGGCGGGGGCGAUUCCCCCAUCGCCCGACUCAUCUCCGACGAGUAUGGCAUCGGUGGGUACGCCGCGUCGUUCGUAUGCUUGGCAGGUUCCAGAACACCCCGCGACGUGUAUGAGGCUGCUAAGCUUGACCAUGGCGAGGGGCUCGUGCUCGAGCUCGACGAGACGCAAUUCGAUCUCGGAACCAACUACGAGCUGGAUGGUGAGACUGCAGAGCAGGCAGGGGGCGCGACGAAGAUGGAAGUGGCGGCAGUUCAAGCUUGUCGCUGCCGAAGACCCUAGAGAGGUGCGUGAAGAGACCUGGUUAGUUUUGUUGGGCCCCACUGGUAGAUGCUCCAUGUCUCCUCCUCUGGUUCCUUGUGCAUUAUUGGGUUGUCUUAAUUUUCAGUCAGGAACACGUAGCCGUGAAUUUUUUUGAUUAAUAUUGAUGUCAUCGUUACAUAUUGGUACCGGGUAGAUUUGAUGUAUUAUUGUUAAGCUCUCAAGACCAGGCCUGGUUUUACAGAUGUUUAGCGCACCGGUUCCUGUUCAUUUACAACACAGCCAUGCGAUCUAUUAAGUGAUGUUUCUCUGAAUUUAUGACAGGUAAACUGCGGUAAUAACAAAUCAGAUGUCAUCUCUCAUCUUGCCGAUUCAACCUUGGAAGAUAUGGUAGAGACGAGAGGCGGUUUGGUCCAUCUGGUGGAAGGGGGAGUGGAGAUAGUAGGAGUGGAAAGCAACUCAGUCCAUCCUGGCGGAAGGGAUAUAUAUAGGCUGACAUGUCAUCGGUGCUGGGCACCACAGGCAAGUGCUGUUUAGUUGAGUCCCAAUCACGAAUUAGAAAAAAAUUCUUUGGGUUCUUGGAUAGAUGCUUAUGGUUUGUUGCGUCAUUUUUCAGGUUCAAUAUGCUGGCUGGCGCCGAGCCUCACUACUGAGUUGAAGAACUACUUGCAACGGUUGCCAAAAGUUGUGUUAAAAAAAUAGGCCCACCUUCAUAAGGAUGAUGUAAAUUGCAGCCAUACUCAGGUUUAUUCUUUGUUCCCUGCAUAUUUUUAUUUAACCACGUUAUGUUUUAGCCACUAGAUGGAAAAUAGAAAAAGGAAACGGAGAGAAUCACUUAUUUUCGUGAUAUGAUAUUUAUUUAAUAGUGAUUGCUAUUUGUUUUGAAUAUUUAAGCAUAAGGAUACCACAAUUAAAUUAUGGUUACAACACGAAAGUUGUAGAGUAGUUAAUCUCUAUCUCUACUCCUAAAGGGGGAGUUGGUAGCCCGGUGCGCAGGUUUAUUUUCGCCUCACCGAUUUAUUCUCCCUCACCUCCCAGCAUCCCCUCCACGCUGGGUUUUCUCCGUCCGACUAAAAACCAAAUCAAUUUGCAUGAUCCUCCUUGUUUGUUUUUCGGCUAAUGUCCUCCUAUCCUAGAGCAUGUUCAUCUGACUAAUCUUCUUAGUUAAUGCCCUCCUUGCCUGGAUCAUGUUCAUCCGAUUGACAAAGGCUUGGCCAUCUUGUAAUAGUAGAUGGUGAAGUGGAUAUAUAUACUACUCCCUCCGUCCGAAAAUACUUGUCAUCAAAAUGAAUAUAAAGGGAUGUAUCUAGAACUAAAAUAUGUUUAGAUACAUCUCUUUUUAUCCAUUUUGAUAACAAGUAUUUCCGGACAGAGGGAGUGCUUCAGUUUGCAUGAGAACAACCGCUUAUAUGUGUGCCUCAAUAGUAAAGUAGGAUUGCUUGGAUUAUUUUCUGUAGUAUUUUUUCCAGUUUUAAAUGUUUAGUUUCUUAACUUAUUAUGAGGCUUGCAUCGAUCAAAGAAAUCAUGCUCCCUUGGCUUAAUCAAAUGUACUUAUGUUUGCUAAUUUAUUUUUAGUGUGUGUUUCCUCCUACUAUCUUAUUAUUCUAUAGCUAACUAUAUUUUGGAAUCUGGUGGGUGCAAAGAAAAUGGCAGUUUCUAGAUUUCUGUAGUAUUUCUGGGUAACAACAGGUUCCAAAGUGACGGGCAUUGCUAAAUCAGAUAACAUACUAUUCAAAAAGAGAACACAUUCAUCCCUUCAUUUUAGAGAUUCAAUAAAGCAAGCAAAACUUGGAAUCCAAGUCAGAAUACCAACUAUUGUACUACUGAAUGCACAUUUAUUUGCCGACAUGAAACUAUCUAUCACAUGUAGGUGUGUUUGCUCCUCGGAGCAUAGCAAAAUGAUAUGCUCUUACAUAAACAUUAUCUUGCUUACAGUGUUAAUUCAAAGCCUUAAUUCAAGGUCGGAUCUUGCUUACAAUGUCAAUAUAAUCGCUUUUAAUCUCUUUCAAGAUUAAUAAACUGCACAUGCAUGGCACGCAAAUAGGACAAACUUGACUAGAUCUACACAUAUAUUUUUAUCACUUCUAAUAUCUCAUCGACUGUUUACAUGCCAUAUUGCAUACCAAGAAUACAAGAGUGCUGACUUUAUUUUAUUUUAUUUUAUUUUAUUUUAUUUUAUUUCUGAAAUAGUUCCCAAUUAGGCUUACAAUUAUUUUAUAUUAGUGUUACUUCCUUUGUCAAGCUUAUGAAGAAUGUAUUUCCUUGAACAGUAUUUCAUCCAUUUGGAUUUAGGUGACAUGUGUGGUGGCACGAGAAAAUGGAAGGCCCUAAGCUGAAGGAGAGCAUCAAUUGACAUGAGUGAUAAGCAAUAUCUAUUAGAAACACAUACUAUCAGGCUAAUGCAAACCACUUGGGUAUGAAGUAUACUUACCACAACUUUCUAGGUGUUGAUCAACUUGUGUUUUCUUGUUAGUAAAAGAAACAUGUUGUUUUUUUGUGGUUCAUGGAUUCAUGCUCAAUGUUGAAUUAUUAUCUGAUCUGCAGAAGCAUGUCUUACUGCUGCUCAAGGUCACAUGAUUUAUAAUUUAUAACUACAAUUAUUUAAAUCAGUAUCUUGCACGAAGUCCUGACAUCUGGCUUUAUCAAAGAUUCCACUAUGUUUAUUUCUCCAUCAUAUCGCACAAUGAAUAAUAACAGUAGAUAGAUAUCCCCUUUUUAUGCAAUGAAUUUCAUGAAAUAAAACAGCGUCCAUCACCGUCUCUGAUGUAAUCUUAAGUGCACAUGCAUGGCUUAAUGUCACUGCUAUCUCGUAGUUUCACAUGCUAUUCAAGUUUACGGCAUACAGUACUUAACAUAUAAGUUGUGUCAUAGUAUUAGUGUCAUCUUUGGCUGCUUCCUUUCUUGAAUUUUCCGAUGACAGUGUACAUGCCUUAACAUAUUCGAAGUUGUUGAUUUUUUUGUUGCAAAUAUAAUAUUUAGUAAUUUAACGUGAGCCCUUGCAGGUCCAAUUAAAGCUAUUUGACCAGAAGCUAGGUGAUAUGUGCUCAAAAGAAUCUACCCUGUUAUGCACCAGUUUUUUGCCUUAACAUUGUUUCUGCAAUUACACUAUAUAUCUUGUAUUAACUGGAUUUUUAAGAUGACGAUUAAGGAAUUCAUCUACAAUUAGGAACUUACUUCGCGACAAGGAAGGUCCAGUGGUUGGGCAACAACAUGUGGAAGGAUAAUUACUGGAUACAUUUUUUUAGCGAACAACAGCGGAGCGAUUUGAUGUCUCAAAACAUGUAAGCUGACUUGCCCUCCAUGGAAUGGAAUGACUACAAAAACUUUUGUCAUUUCAUCUAAGAAUAUUUUAAAUUAGUUAAUAAAUCAUACAGACUUGAUAUUUUCUUGGUCUCAUGCAACUAUGUGUGGUUUCUUACUUUACUCCACAAUCAUCUGUGGCAAUUAUGAGGUAUUUUUCGCCAUUCGUAUUUAUUCCUUAAUUUUACUAUGAAUAUAUGAGAGUACACACCAAGGGGUUCGCAAAAAGUACAAAAAAACUAGGAGACAAGCACGAGUCACCUUAUGAGGUGAUGAUGUAGGAGACACAAUGAGGUGAAAGAGACGUGAUGGACAUAGAAGAGUAAACCCACGAGGAUAAAGAGAUGUCAUGCACAUAGAAGGAGGAAGCGAGGACCUCGAUCCACAUUAUCAAAGACAUAGAUAAGAACAAGAGUAUCACACUUCCCACAUCGACCAACUAAUGACACAUGUUGCUAUUGGGGCAUAUCACCCUCCCUUGCAUUAUACAUAUUAAUAUUAAGAUGAAACACUUCGUUGAAUGCAUUUCUAUUAUAUUGUUCUAUGGCAACACCCGAGCAUUCUGCUAGAAAGGAUGCUCGGGUGUAGACAGAAUCAUAUAUUAUAUCAUUAUUAGUAUCAACAUGUUUCUAAAUGUUUUCAUACUCAGUAUAUGAUGUUAGAUUCAACAUGAGAUCUAAAGUUUUGUGUGAAGCCAAAUAUGCAGGUGUUAGCAAUACUGUUUGAUAGCUUGGGGGUACGAUGUGGCAAACGCGCAACGGCUGGCUAGCUGUGUUGGAGAGCAAGAGAUGUCCAGCGAGAAACAUCCCACUACAUGUUGGGGAAUGUAGUAAUUUCAAAAAAUUUCCUACGCACACGCAAGAUCAUGGUGAUGCAUAGCAACGAGAAGGGAGAGUGUUGUCUACGUACCCACGCAGACCGACUGCGGAAGCAUUGACACAACAUAGAGGAAGUAGUCGUACGUCUUCCCGAUCCGACCGAUCCAAGCACCGUUACUCCGGCACCUCCGAGUUCUUAGCACACGUACAGCUCGAUGACGAUCCCCGGGCUCCGAUCCAGCAAAGCGUCGGGGAAGAGUUCCGUCAGCACGACGGCGUGGUGAUGAUCUUGAUGUUCUACCGACGCAGGGCUUCGCCUAAGCACUACAACGAUAUGAUCGAGGUGGAAUAUGGUGGCAGGGGGCACCGCACACGGCUAAGAAAUGAUCUCAAGGAUCAACUUGUGUGUCUAGAGGUGCCCCCCUGCCCCUGUAUAUAAAGGAGCCAAGGAGGAGGGGCUGGCUGGCCAAGGAGGGUGCGCCAGGAGAGUCCUACUCCCUCUGGGAAUAGGAUUCCCCCCCAAUCCUAGUUGGAAUAGGAUUCCUUAAGGGGGGGAAAGGAGAGGGGGGGCCGGCCACCUCUUCUAGUCCUAAUAGGACUAGGGGAGGGGGGAGGCGCGCGGCCACCUUGGGCUGCCCCUUUCUUCUUUCCACUAAAGCCCAUUAAGGCCCAUAUAGCUCCCGGGGGGUUCCGGUAACCUCCCGGUACUCCGGUAAAAUCCUGAUUUCACCCGGAACACUUCCGAUAUCCAAACAUAGGCUUUCAAUAUAUCAAUCUUUAUGUCUCGACCAUUUCAAGACUCCUCGUCAUGUCCGUGAUCACAUUCGGGACUCCGAACUAACUUCGGUACAUCAAAAUGCAUAAACUCAUAAUAACUGUCAUCGUAACGUUAAGCGUGCGGACCCUACAGUUCGAGAAUAAUGUAGACAUGACUGAGACACAUCUCCAGUCAAUAACCAAUAGCGGGACCUGGAUGCCCAUAUUGGCUCCUACAUAUUCUACGAAGAUCUUUAUCGGUCAGACCGCAUAACAACAUACGUUGUUCCCUUUGUCAUCGAUAUGUUACUUGCCCGAGAUUCGAUCGUCGGUAUCCAAUACCUAGUUCAAUCUCGUUACCGGCAAGUCCCUUUACUCGUUCUGUAAUACAUCAUCCCGCAACUAACUCAUUAGUUGCAAUGCUUGCAAGGCUUAUGUGAUGUGCAUUACCGAGAGGGCCCAGAGAUACCUCUCCGACAAUCGGAGUGACAAAUCCUAAUCUCGAAAUACGCCAACCCAACAUCUACCUUUGGAGACACCUGUAGAGCUCCUUUAUAAUCACCCAUUUACGUUGUGACGUUUGGUAGCACAGAAAGUAUUCCUCCGGCAAACGGGAGUUGCAUAAUCUCAUAGUCAUAGGAACAUGUAUAAGUCAUGAAGAAAGCAAUAGCAACAUACUAAACGAUCGGGUGCUAAGCUAAUGGAAUGGGUCAUGUCAAUCAGAUCAUUCAACUAAUGAUGUGACCUCGUUAAUCAAAUAACAACUCUUUGUUCAUGGUUAGCAAACAUAACCAUCUUUGAUUAACGAGCUAGUCAAGUAGAGGCAUACUAGUGACACUCUGUUUGUCUAUGUAUUCACACAUGUAUUAUGUUUUCGGUUAAUACAAUUCUAGCAUGAAUAAUAAACAUUUAUCAUGAUAUAAGGAAAUAAAUAAUAACUUUAUUAUUGCCUCUAGGGCAUAUUUCCGUCAGUCUCCCACUUGCACUAGAGUCAAUAAUCUAGAUUACACUGUAAUGAUUCUAACACCCAUGGAGUCUUGGUGUUGAUCAUGUUUUGCUCGUGGAAGAGGCUUAGUCAACGAGUCUGCAACAUUCAGAUCUGUAUGUAUCUUGCAAAUCUCUAUGUCUCCCACCUGGACUAGAUUCCGGAUGGAAUUGAAGCGUCUCUUGAUGUGCUUGGUCCUUUUGUGAAAUCUGGAUUCCUUUGCCAAGGCAAUUGCACCAGUAUUGUCACAAAAGAUUUUCAUUGGACCCGAUGCACUAGGUAUGACACCUAGAUCGGAUAUGAACUCCUUCAUCCAGACUCCUUCGUUCGCUGCUUCCGAAGCAGCUAUGUACUCCGCUUCACAUGUAGAUCCCGCUAUGACGCUUUGUUUAGAACUGCACCAACUGACAGCUCCACCGUUUAAUGUAAACACGUAUCCGGUUUGCGAUUUAGAAUCGUCCGGAUUAGUGUCAAAGCUUGCAUCAACGUAACCUUUUACGGUGAGCUCUUUGUCACCUCCAUAUACGAUAAACAUAUCCUUAGUCCUUUUCAGGUAUUUCAGGAUGUUCUUGACCGCUGUCCAGUGAUCCACUCCUAGAUUACUUUGAUACCUUCCUCCUAGACUUAUAGCAAGGCACACAUCAGGUCUGGUACACAGCAUUGCAUACAUGAUAGAGCCUAUGGCUGAAGCAUAGGGAACAUCUUUCAUUUUCUCUCUAUCUUCUGCAGUGGUCGGGCAUUGAGUCUGACUCAACUUCACACCUUGUAACAUAGGCAAGAACCCUUUCUUUGCUUGAUCCAUUUUGAACUUCUUCAAAAUCUUGUCAAGGUAUGUGCUUUGUGAAAGUCCAAUUAAGCGUCUUGAUCUAUCUUUAUAGAUCUUUAUGCCUAAUAUGUAAGCAGCUUCACCGAGGUCUUUCAUUGAAAAACUCUUAUUCAAGUAUCCCUUUAUGCUAUCCAGAAAUUCUAUAUCAUUUCCAAUCAGUAAUAUGUCAUCCACAUAUAAUAUCAGAAAUGCUACAGAGCUCCCACCCACUUUCUUGUAAAUACAGGCUUCUCCGAAAGUCUGUAUAAAACCAAAUGCUUUGAUCACACUAUCAAAGCGUUUAUUCCAACUCCGAGAGGCUUGCACCAGUCCAUAAAUGGAUCGCUGGAGCUUGCACACUUUGUUAGCUCCUUUUGGAUUGACAAAACCUUCCAGUUGCAUCAUAUACAACUCUUCUUCCAGAAAUCCAUUCAGGAAUGCAGUUUUGACAUCCAUCUGCCAAAUUUCAUAAUCAUAAAAUGCGGCAAUUGCUAACAUGAUUCGGACAGACUUAAGCAUCGCUACGGGUGAGAAGGUCUCAUCGUAGUCAACCCCUUGAACUUGUCGAAAACCUUUUGCGACAAGUCGAGCUUUGUAGACAGUAACAUUACCAUCAGCGUCAGUCUUCUUCUUGAAGAUCCAUUUAUUCCCAAUUGCUUGCCGAUCAUCGGGCAAGUCAACCAAAGUCCAUACUUUAUUCUCAUACAUGGAUCCCAUCUCAGAUUUCAUGGCUUCAAGCCACUUUGCGGAAUCUGGGCUUACCAUCGCUUCUUCAUAGUUUGUAGGUUCAUCAUGAUCUAGCAGCAUGAUUUCCAGAACAGGAUUACCGUACCACUCUGGUGCGGAUCUCGCUCUGGUUUAUCUACGAGGUUCAGUAGUAUCUUGUCCUGAAGUUUCAUGAUCAUCAUCAUUAGCUUCCUCACUAAUUGGUAUAGGUGUCGCAGAAACAGUUUUCUGUGAUGUACUACUUUCCAAUAAGGGAGCAGGUACAGUUACCUCGUCAAGUUCUACUUUCCUCCCACUCACUUCUUUCGAGAGAAACUCUUUCUAUAGAAAGGAUCCAUUCUUAGCAACGAAUAUCUUGCCUUCGGAUCUGUGAUAGAAGGUGUACCCAACAGUCUCCUUUGGGUAUCCUAUGAAGACACAUUUCUCCAAUUUGGGUUCGAGCUUAUCAGGUUGAAGCUUUUUCACAUAAGCAUCGCAGCCCCAAACUUUAAGAAACGACAACUUUGGUUUCUUGCCAAACCACAGUUCAUAAGGCGUCGUCUCAACGGAUUUUGAUGGUGCCCUAUUUAACGUGAAUGCGGCCGUCUCUAAAGCAUAACCCCAAAACGAUAGUGGUAAAUCAGUAAGAGACAUCAUAGAUCGCACCAUAUCUAGUAAAGUACGAUUACGACGUUCGGACACACCAUUACGCUGUGGUGUUCCGGGUGGCAUGAGUUGCGAAACUAUUCCACAAUUUUUCAAAUGUACACCAAACUCGUAACUCAAAUAUUCUCCUCCACGAUCAGAUCGUAGAAACUUUAUUUUCUUGUUACGAUGAUUUUCAACUUCACUCUGAAAUUCUUUGAACUUUUCAAAUGUUUCAGACUUGUGUUUCAUCAAGUAGAUAUACCCAUAUCUGCUUAAAUCAUCUGUGAAGGUGAGAAAAUAACGAUAUCCGCCACGAGCCUCAAUAUUCAUCGGACCACAUACAUCGGUAUGUAUGAUUUCCAACAAAUCUGUUGCUCUCUCCAUAGUACCGGAGAACGGUGUUUUAGUCAUCUUGCCUAUGAGGCAUGGUUCGCAAGUACCAAGUGAUUCAUAAUCAAGUGGUUCCAAAAGUCCAUCAGUAUGGAGUUUCUUCAUGCGCUUUAUACCGAUAUGACCUAAAACGGCAGUGCCACAAAUAAGUUGCACUAUCAUUAUCAACUCUGCAUCUUUUGGCUUCAACAUUAUGAAUAUGUGUGUUACUACUAUCGAGAUUCAUCAAAAAUAGACCACUCUUCAAAGGUGCAUGACCAUAAAAGAUAUUACUCAUAUAAAUAGAACAACCAUUAUUCUUUGAUUUAAAUGAAUAACCGUCUCGCAUCAAACAAGAUCCAGAUAUAAUGUUCAUGCUCAAUGCUGGCACCAAAUAACAAUUAUUUAGGUCUAAUAUUAAUCCCGAAGGUAGAUGUAGAGGUAGCGUGCCGACCGCGAUCACAUCGACUUUGGAACCGUUUCCCACGCGCAUCGUCACCUCGUCCUUUGUCAGUGUUUGCUUAAUCCGUAGUCCCUGUUUCGAGUUGCAAAUAUUAGCAACAGAACCAGUAUCAAAUACCCAGGUGCUACUGCAAGCUCUAGUAAGGUACACAUCAAUAACAUAUAUAUCACAUAUACCUUUGUUCACCUUGCCAUCCUUCUUAUCCGCCAAAUACUUGGGGUAGUUCCGCUUCCAGUGACCAGUCUGCUUGCAGUAGAAACACUCAGUUUCAGGCUUAGGUCCAGACUUGGGUUUCUUCUCCUGAGCAGCAACUUGCUUACUGUUCUUCUUGAAGUUCCCCUUCUUCUUCCCUUUACCCUUUUUCUUGAAACUAGUGGUCUUGUUAACCAUCAACACUUGAUGCUCCUUCUUGAUUUCUACCUCCGCAGCUUUCAGCAUUGCGAAGAUCUCGGGAGUAGUCUUGUUCAUCCCUUGCAUAUUAUAGUUCAUCACAAAGCUCUUGUAGCUUGGUGGCAGUGAUUGGAGAAUUCUGUCAAUGAUGCAAUCAUCUGGAAGAUUAACUCCCAUCUGAAUCAAGUGAUUAUUAUACCCAGACAUUUUGAGUAUAUGCUCACUGACAGAACUGUUCUCCUCCAUCUUGCAGCUAUAGAACUUAUUGGAGACUUCAUAUCUCUCAAUCCGGGCAUUUGCUUGAAAUAUUAACUUCAACUCCUGGAACAUCUCAUAUGCUCCAUGACGUUCAAAACGUCGUUGAAGUCCCGAUUCUAAGCCGUAAAGCAUGGCACACUGAACUAUCGAGUAGUCAUCAGCUUUGCUCUGCCAGACGUUCAUAACAUCAGGUAUUGCUCCAGCAGCAGGCCUGGCACCCAGCGGUGCUUCCAGGACGUAAUUCUUCUGAGCAGCAAUGAGGAUAAUCCUCAAGUUACGGACCCAGUCCGUGUAAUUGCUACCAUCAUCUUUCAACUUUGCUUUCUCAAGGAAUGCAUUAAAAUUCAACGGGACAACAGCACGAGCCAUCUAUCUACAAUCAACAUAAACAAGCAAGAUACUAUCAGGUACUAAGUUCAUGAUAAGUUUAAGUUCAAUUAAUCAAAUUACUUAAGAACUCCCACUUAGAUAGACAUCCCUCUAAUCCUCUAAGUGAUCACGUGAUCCAAAUCAACUAAACCAUAACCGAUCAUCACGUGAGAUGGAGUAGUUUUCAAUGGUGAACAUCGUUAUGUUGAUCAUAUCUACUAUAUGAUUCACGUUAGACCUUUCGGUCUCCGUGUUCCGAGGCCAUAUCUGCAUAUGCUAGGCUCGUCAAGUUUAACCUUAGUAUUCUGCGUGUGCAAAAACUGGCUUGCACCCGUUGUAGAUGGACGUAGAGCUUAUCAUACCCAAUCAUCACGUGGUGUCUGGGCACGACGAACUUUGGCAACGGUGCAUACUCAGGGAGAACACUUCUUGAUAAUUUAGUGAGAGAUCAUCUUAUAAUGCUACCGUCAAUCAAAGCAAGAUAAGAUGCAUAAAAAGAUAAACAUCACAUGCAAUCAAUAUAAGUGAUAUGAUAUGGCCAUCAUCAUCUUGUGCUUGUGAUCUCCAUCUCCGAAGCAUCGUCAUGAUCACCAUCGUCACCGGCGCGACACCUUGAUCUCCAUCGUAGCAUCGUUGUCGUCUCGCCAAUCUUAUGCUUCUACGACUAUCGCUACCGUUUAGUGAUAAAGUAAAGCAUUACAUCGCGAUUGCAUUGCAUACAAUAAAGCGACAACCAUAUGGCUCCUGCCAGUUGCCGAUAACUUGGUUACAAAACAUGAUCAUCUCAUACAAUAAAAUUUAGCAUCAUGUCUUGGCCAUAUCACAUCACAACAUGCCCUGCAAAAACAAGUUAGACGUCCUCUACUUUGUUGUUGCAAGUUUUACGUGGCUGCUACGGGCUUAAGCAAGAACCAAUCUCACCUACGCAUCAAAACCACAACGAUAGUUUGUCAAAUAGACUCCGUUUUAACCUUCGCAAGGACCGGGCGUAGCCACACUCGGUUCAACUAAAGUUGGAGAGACAGUCGCCCGCAAGCCACCUAUGUGCAAAGCACGUCGGGGAAACCGGUCUCGCGUAAGCGUACGCGUAAUGUUGGUCCGGGUCGUCUCGUCCAACAAUACCGUUGAACCAAAGUAUGACAUGGCAGUAUGACUUAUAUCGCCCACAACUCACUUGUGUUCUACUCGUGCAAAUAACAUCAAACCAUAAAACCUAGGCUCGGAUGCCACUAUUGGGGAACAUAGUAAUUUCAAAAAAAUUCCUAUGCACACGCAAGAUCAUGGUGAUGCAUAGCAACGAGAAGGGAGAGUGUUGUCUACGUACCCACGCAGACCGACUGCGGAAGCAUUGACACAACAUAGAGGAAGUAGUCGUACGUCUUCCCGAUCCGACCGAUCCAAGCACCGUUACUCCGGCACCUCCGAGUUCUUAGCACACGUACAGCUCGAUGACGAUUCCCGGGCUCCGAUCCAGCAAAGCGUCGGGGAAGAGUUCCGUCAGCACGACGGCGUGGUGACGAUCUUGAUGUUCUACCGACGCAGGGCUUCGCCUAAGCACUACAACGAUAUGAUCGAGGUGGAAUAUGGUGGCAGGAGGCACCGCACACAGCUAAGGAACGAUCUCAAGGAUCAACUUGUGUAUCUAGAGGUGCCCCCCUGCCCCUGUAUAUAAAGGAGCCAAGGGGGAGGGGCUGGCUGGCCAAGGAGGGUGCGCCAGGAGAGUCCUACUCCCUCUGGGAGUAGGAUUCCCCCCCCCCCCCAAUCCUAGUUGGAAUAGGAUUCCUUAAGGGGGGGGGAAGAGAGAGAGGGGGGCCGGCCACCUCUCCUAGUCCUAAUAGGACUAGGGGAGGGGGGAGGCGCGCGGCCACCUUGGGCUGCCCCUUUCUUCUUUCCACUAAAGCCCACUAAGGCCCAUAUAGCUCCCGGGGGGUUCCGGUAACCUCCCGGUACUCCGGUAAAAUCCCGAUUUCAUCCGGAACACUUCCGAUAUCCAAACAUAGGCUUCCAAUAUAUCAAUCUUUAUGUCUCGACCAUUUUGAGACUCGUCGUCAUGUCCGUGAUCACAUCCGGGACUCCGAACUAACUUCGGUACAUCAAAAUGCAUAAACUCAUAAUAACUGUCAUCGUAACGUUAAGCGUGCGGACCCUACGGUUCAAGAAUAAUGUAGACAUGACUGAGACACAUCUCCGGUCAAUAACCAAUAGUGGGACCUGGAUGCCCAUAUUGGCUCCUACAUAUUCUACGAAGAUCUUUAUCGGUCAGACCGCAUAACAACAUGCGUUGUUCCCUUUGUCAUCGGUAUGUUACUUGCCCGAGAUUCGAUCGUCGGUAUCCAAUACCUAGUUCAAUCUCGUUACCGGCAAGUCUCUUUACUCGUUCUGUAAUACAUCAUCCCGCAACUAACUCAUUAGUUGCAAUGCUUGCAAGGCUUGUGUGAUGUGCAUUACCGAGAGGGCCCAGAGAUACCUCUCCGACAAUCGGAGUGACAAAUCCUAAUCUUGAAAUACGCCAACCCAACAUCUACCUUUGGAGACACCUGUAGAGCUUCUUUAUAAUCACCCAUUUACGUUGUGACGUUUGGUAGCACAGAAAGUAUUCCUCCGGCAAACGGGAGUUGCAUAAUCUCAUAGUCAUAGGAACAUGUAUAAUUCAUGAAGAAAGCAAUAGCAACAUACUAAACGAUCGGGUGCUAAGCUAAUGGAAUGGGUCAUGUCAAUCAGAUCAUUCAACUAAUGAUGUGACCUCGUUAAUCAAAUAACAACUCUUUGUUCAUGGUUAGCAAACAUAACCAUCUUUGAUUAACGAGCUAGUCAAGUAGAGGCAUACUAGUGACACUCUGUUUGUCUAUGUAUUCACACAUGUAUUAUGUUUCCGGUUAAUACAAUUCUAGCAUGAAUAAUAAACAUUUAUCAUGAUAUAAGGAAAUAAAUAAUAACUUUAUUAUUGCCUCUAGGGCAUAUUUCCUUCACUACAAUGGGAAACCGAGCGGGAAGGGGAGAGUCAGAUAGGAAAACCGAAGUUUUUGUCGUGGGAUGGGGGUUUUGUGUUGCGCCCUUGGGUUGGAGAUAACAAAUGGCGGAUAGUCCGGACAAUGACAUUUCUCCCCCACAUAUGAUCUGGAUUUCGGAAAGUCUGGACUGUCCAGACGGUUGAAUUUUGGGGAGCCCAUUGGGCACCGGACGUAUGAGGAAGAAAUGAGUUUCGAAUUUAAAGACGACUUUAAUCAUUUAUUUAAUUCAUUUAUGUGUGUUGUAGCCCGUAGCAACGCACGGGCAUUCUACUAGUAUAAGUUAUAACUCUGCUAUACUGCCAAUUUCUUGCAUGCUCAUAUGUAUGUUGUAUGGCAUUUAAUUUCUUUUGGUGGUCCUUUCCCUCUUUGAAUUGAAUGCCAACAUAGUAGAACAUGUACUGCAUAAGGUUCAGCAGGCUGGGUCUAACAAGGUAAAUCAUUAUUUCUCAUGCGGAAGUUUGCAGGAUUAUGCACACACAUUGUUUCGUUUCGUUGACCAUAGAACAUGAUUUGCUCUUUAUUUUCUCUCCUAUGCCUAAGGCUUUGAGCUCCUUCGAAAUCAUUACUAUAAUGAAAAGGAUGAGAAGUGAGUCCUUUAGACAUGGAACACACAUAAGUUCUUUGAAGAUCAUUUUAUUUGGGAUGUCAAUAACAGUUCUACCAAUUUGCAUCAAUUGUUUAUAUGCUAUACAAACCAUCACUUGGCCCUCUAUUGUCAUUAAUCAGAUGCACGGAAUUUGUGAAUAUAUAAAUAUUCUGGCUGAAGAUAGAACCAACUUGUGAUGGUUCCAUGUGGUACAUAUAACUGAAAUUGGUCAGAUGUUUCUAUAUUUCUUUCGUUAAGACAUCUUUUUUCCUUUGUUAAGAUGUGUCUAAGAUGGGCGGGCGCCGCAACGCGCGCCUUUAUGAUCUAGUACAGCGUGAUGGCGCUGGUGCGCAACUGUUGGUGCAGCACAUUCACCAUUAAUUAUAUUGUUUUUAACACAGUAUAAACGUAAGUGCUCAUAUAUUUAUACGCGCAUAUAUUCACCCCUUGUGAAUGCACGUACGCACACUCUAUCCCUAUGAGCACCUCUGAAAGACUGAGUUAGUAUAUUAUCUAAAUUUUACAAAGUCACCAUAGGCGCCUAUCCGGGAUAAAUGCAAGCAUCAUGACUUGAAUUCUGAUGGGCUGGGGAUAUCACUGUGCUCCUAACCAUUCAACCACAUAUUGGUUCACCGGGACUAAUCAUACCGGUGUAGCCAAGUCUUAUUUAAAAACUAUGGACCAAACUUCAUCCCAUAUAGUUGAACAACACUAGGGGUAGAAACGGAUCGGAUGCGGAUCGGAUAGUGCUCUUGCCACUUCCAUUUUCAUAUUUUCAAAACGAAUACGAAUUCGAAUACGGAUGUUAUCGGAUACGGAUGCGGCUCGGAUAUUAUUCAAAUACGGAUACGUAUCGGAUAUUUUCUUGAUUCGGAACGGAUACGAAUAAUAUCAACAUAUUGCUUAAGUAAAUCAGUCGAUAGCUAUGUGAACUGAAAUAAUCAACUUGUGACAUACAAUAAGUCAAUGAUAAAUAGGUUUAUGAAUAAAUACUAUUGUAAUGCAUAAUAAUUUAUAAGUUUAAUCAUAUAAAGAGUAAAAUUUGACCACUUAUUUGGCUUUUAUGUUGGAUAAUUGGAAUAUUGAGUCUAGAAAUUUGAAAAUUACCUCCCAUAAUCUUAUUCGGAUACGGAUAUAUCCACUUUCAUAUCCAUGUUUGUCUCAAAAUCUCCUACCAUAUUUUAUUUUUUAUUUGUUUAAUAAAUUCGGAUACGGAUAAUUUCCAUUUCCAUUUUGGUUCGGAUGCGGAUGUUUCGGAUACAAAUAGGCAUUUUCUCGAAUACGAAUAUCGGAUAUUUCGGAUUAUCCGCUAUCAAUUUCCACCCCUAAACAACACGCUGUUGCGGUCUGAUGUAGUUGCUACUCAUUUGUUUCUAAAGUAACUUGUAAUCAACUACUUCUUCCGUUUUGAAAUAGAUGACUCAACUUUAUACAAAGUUAGUAUAAAGUUGAGUCAUCUAUUUUGGAACGGAGGGAGUACUUCUGAUGAGAACAAAUCAAUAAAGUACCUUGUAAUCAAACUACUGAGAUAAUUUGUACCUUCUCUCCGUACCCAUGUAUAAUCAAGUAGCCUCUUAAUGUACUUUUCCUUUUUCUUCUUUGAAGCAAGUUUAUGAAGAAAAGAAUGAUGUAUUCUGAUCUCCAUGAAGCAACCAAUUAGCUCGUCCUCUCUAUAAAAACAAUUCUUCAUGAUACCGAAGAUUCUCAAUAUCUAGCCUAACAAAAAGAAGGUUAUCAAUAUUUGAAGAUCUUUUUUAUCCCUAAUCUCCCCGUCAGAUCACUUUGUCUCCAUUUCUGAAGGUCUUUUUUUAGCUUCGAUAUCCUCUUAUUUGGGCCUUUCAGAACCUCCAGAUCCCUCUGGUGUAGAUCUUUAUGAACAGCCUUGGUACAAUCAGGCAAGGGUGGCCUAGCUUGCUGGAUCCCAAGCCAAUUGGACUACCGCAUUGACGGUUUCUUCACACAACCAACGGGCUUCAAACUAUUUUCGGGCCUUCGAUUGUUGAGACAAAACAAAUUUUAAAAAAAUAUGAAGGAAAAUAGAUCAAUGGUCUGAAUGGACACGGUGCUCAUGAACCAACGCAUAUGGCAAUUUAUCCGCACACGCCUCAUUACUUGGUGAUGCCCUGGCUCCAGGUAAACUGAUCACCAAUAACAGUGGUCUGUUGAAGUCCACACAACCUCUGAAAUUAUGCAUCAAUUGUUGAGGUCGAACAUUACCACCCUCCUUCUCACUUGCAACCAAUCUCUCAUUAAAAUCACAGUAACUAACCAUGGACCAGCCGCAUUCCGUUGCGCGAGUAUGUCCAGGACAGGUGCUUCCUAUCCCAAGUUGGUUGUCCAUAAUAUCCUGUCAAGCGCCAUGAAGCAUCAUUUUCACCCAUAACAAUUGCAUCAAUAAAUUUUUCUAAAGAAUAGUUCAACACCACUUUAUUAGAUUGGUUAUAAAAAAGGACAAGGUUCCCCGAGCGACCAUCACUCUUUUUUUUUCAAGAAACUUCCAAUCUAUUUAUCGUCAAUCAUGGUGGUACAACAAACACCAGAAAUAAUAAAAAUUACAUCGAGAUAUGUAGACCACCUAGCGACGACUACAAGCACUGAAGCGAGCCGAAUGCGCGCAGUCGUCAUUGCCCCUCCCACACACGCAUACCUUACCACUAUGAGUACCUCCGACAAACUGAGGCGGCAUAUCAUCUUGAGAUGGACGAAGUCACCAAAGGCGUCUCGUAGUCGACGGGAACGUCUCCUCCCAUUAAACGCGCAUCGCAGAAAAUCCUGAAAUAAAUUCAGCAAUAAAUGUGAGCAAAAGGAUAUGAACUCUGGUGGACUGGGGAUACCACUGUCCACCUAACCAUUCAACCACAGAUUGGUAUUGCUAUGUACAAUUUGGGGUCAUGAUGACCGGAUAGCAGAUUGUGGAGCUUGUAUUUUUUUGUUUCUAUAAUAGCCGCAUGACCUGAAAGGUUUCUUUCCAUCCGGGGCAAUUAUCGUGUCAGUUAAUGGGGGGUGGGGGUGGAUAAACUGGUCACACGAUGCAUAGUUUUAACUUUCUACACCGUGAUAAAAUAAAAGGAAAUGAUUUUCUUCACCUGGCCUAUCCAUCGCGGGGCAUCCGCCGCCUCUAGUGUGCAGACGCGUGUCCUAUGUGGACCCUAUGCGUCGCUCUAUAUUUUUUCUUAUUCCCACCCAUGGUUGACCUUUGUUGAAGAAAAAGCUACAACAAGACCUCUGUUGCAAAAGUUUAUAUAUGCAGAAGACCUCUAUUUUUGCAAAAAAAAAAAGGAUUCUACAACAUGACCUAUGUUGCAAUGAUAGGCAAUAAAGAAAAAGAACAAAAGAUUAAACAAUUUGCAACAACUCUCUUGUUGCAGAAGGCAAAGCACAAUAAGGCUCAUGUUAGAUAGAUCGGAGGAAGAGAAAAAUGGUUUGAGGCUUUUUACGGUUAGUCCGUAGUUCGAAGCCUUUUGCAACAAAUCCUCUGUUGUAGAGAGACGGGUGCAACAACAUGCUUGUUGCAACUUCAUUUGCUCAUGUGAAGAAGAUGUAGUGACUUUCUUUGUCUUAGUCCGACGGCUAUGGAGGUGGACGAUCUUUUCCAUUGCUUAAACCGGCCAACACCUAGUGCAGCCCAUAAAAUAAUUCCCGGUGCCUUUCAAGCCUAUGCAACUCGUAUGGAACACACUUUCUACUCUCUUGAUGUAUGGAUUGUCUCAUCGUUUCUAGAGGAAAAUAAUUUGAAAUUGAGAGGCACGGAAGAGAUUGAUGUUUAUCAGUUGAGAAUUGAUGACAUGAAGGUGCCCCGCUGCCCACCGCAUUGCAUGGUUUUGUGUGGGCCCAUAAUAUUUCAGCACCUAUAAAUGAGCUCAGUUUGGGCAUCAUGACAUUUAUGUGUGUCAAACCACAUAUUUGUCGCGUCAUAGGCUCUCACCGAUUCCACGCCUCCCAACUAUAAACAUUCACGAAGAAUUAAAGCAUACAACCAGCCUACUAUAUCAAGUUGUGCUGAGAGCAGAGCAUCUCCAAUAACUGCCCUAUAAUAGGGCACCAAAAUUUGCUUGAAGUAAAAUUUGGGAUACAAAAAAGUGUUUUUAGGGCACGAGAAAGUGAGUGUCUCCAAAAGUUGCCCUAAAAUGGGGUAUUGAAUAGGGCACCAUUGCUCCAACAACUGCCAUAAAAAUAGGGCAACCGCACCACAUCUUUCUUCUCCACAUAUGGAUAGAAAUUAAACUUUGCAAGAUUUCCUUGAGUGUCUUCUCCACCAACAGCUGCUCACAAAAUUCAAUUACUGAACUUGAGUGUCUUCUCCACCAACAGCUGCUCAAAAAAUUCAACUACUAAAACCAAAUCUAACAGGAAGACCGACAAAAUCAAAGUAGAUACUAAAUUUGAGUGUCUUCUUUUAAUUUCUUUGUAUUGCACAGAACUACACACCAAAAUGGCAUGGGAUACAAUUUCAGCGAAUAACAAACGAAAUUGACAAGAAGUUCCUUUGUAACUUUCUUCAGUAAAAGGAACAGUGAAAGUCUGAACUUUCUGAAAACUAACACCUGCAUCUUGGCCUCUUACACUUUCGUCAGAAAAAGGAAAGCUGGAAACUGAACUUUACUAAUGAAUUACAUCGGGACUAGCAGCGGCGCAUUCAAGCAGCACCUCCACGACCCGUACAAACUCCAACAACCCAUUCUGCAGCACCACCACACAAACCACUAACUAGCCAUCAGGCUUUCAUUUAGCUUUGUACUCUCUCUGUAAACUAAUAUAAGAUUAUUUAGGUCACUAGAGGGAAUAUAUGAUAAAUGUGUUUGCUUUCGCAAAAAAAAAAAAUAUGAUAAAUGUGUUUGGAAGAGGGCUAACUUGCUUUAUUUGGAAUCGCCAAGGUGAAUCUAACUUCCUUUUUUCUUGGCAAAACAAAAUAACUGCACUAUCGUGCUACAAUCAGCAACAGAAUUGGUCACUACCCAUGCCAUGCAAUUCAGCUCAAUUCACUCUAUUAAAAAACUUCAAGUCAUAGCACGAGAAAUUUCCACUUUAAAGGAAUCGAAACAUCCUCACCACGCAACCCAGUAGAAAUGAAACAAUCCUACAUGCUCAACCCACAACAACGGAAGCUCCGAGCCGCACUAGCCCCGGGUCACCGCAAUUGCAUUUGAGAACUUAGCCAUGGCCUCGACAACAACAUUGAAGAAGGCGUCGGAGCCAAAGCCCUUUGUCUGGAUGUGCUAGCAAAGCUCCGCCACCACCCAUGGAGCUCGCUCAGCUUGGAUGGGUGGCCGGAGCCGAAUCUCGCAGGGAUAGAGAUCAAAUCGGACCUAGGGAAGAGGGGACGAGGUGAGGGGCGCUAGAGUUGGGGGAGGCAUCAACCGCAGUGAUGCUCGCAAGAGUAGAGGCAGGAAGGGCACGUGGGAAAACACCCGACCGACGAUUUUGCGACAGCGGCCCAAGUGUAGAGUUGGAUCAGCCGACGGUGAUUUGCAGGUGUAGAGGCAGGAAGGGUGCGUGGAAAACGCCCGACCGGCGGUUUUGCGACAGUACUUUAUGCUGUAUUUUUGGGCAGCGCUGGAAAUUUUGGAGCAAAUUUUACAUUAAGGGCAGGUAUUGGAGCAGUGUUUCUGGCCCCAAAUGCCCUAAAUACGUUAUGGGGAGAUUCUCUGAGUUGAUGGGGAGUUUAGGUGUUUACACACACUCCAAAUCACAAGUCUUACAACGGUUGUUUCAGGCCCUAAAUAAACACACAAAAUCUGUCAGGCAGAUUAACGUCUUACACCCACACAAACGGAAGCAAUUUGCUUGGCUUUACAUAUAUCCAAGGUAACAUUUCUAGAUCUGUUGGAGAAGCUCGUAUACAUUGGGUGCAUGUUGCAUGGAGAAGCUCAUACAAGUUAAAUGUGCAUGCUGAAUUUGGUAUCCAAGUCGAUCAGCUCAGGUACAAUGAGGAAUAUUACUUAGUUCCACAGUAUCUCUAACAAUGGUUGGAGAAGCUACACAUUUAAAUCUCAGACAUGCAUGUAUUUCGGAACGGAGGCAGUAGUUUUUUACAGAAUGUGACAUUUGGAACUAUAGACUGUUCUUUUCAACUACUCAGAAGGCUAACUAAAAUUUCAGAAACAUUUAUGAGAAAGAAAUAGAACAGCAUCACAUCAAAAAAAAAAGAUGGACGCAGGGCAGAAUUACAUAUAUCAAGAGUACUGCAAAAUUAAUAGCUGCAUAAAAUUCAGUCACAAACACAUAUAAUCCCACAUUACAUAAAACUCAGUCUUGGAACAAAACCAGACUAGCAUUAAACAGCUAAAUUGGACAGAACACAGGUAAGACAGCUUCCACAGCCAUAGCAGCAAACACGCCAGGAAUCACUAGACCAUGCCGUCCUCCCUCGAUGCCUGGCAGCCUGGAUGUAGGAUGAUGCUUCCCCUGCUCCAAG
rnacentral:lncRNA from 1 species